UGGGAUCGACACGAUAGAAGAUAUGGACAUGAUUUGCCAUACAACGAGUACUACUUGGCUCAGUUGCAAGAGCUGCUAAACAAGUAUGGGAAUGUGAAAGAGAUCUGGUUUGAUGGAGCUAAGGGUUCAAAUGCGCCAAAUAUGUCAUAUUAUUUCUCAGAUUGGUUUGCAAUGGUGAAAGAGUUUCAGAGUUCCAUCAAUAUAUUCUCUGAUGCAGGUCCUGAUGUCAGAUGGGUUGGAAAUGAAAAUGGAUUUGCGGGAACUACAUCCUGGUCCACCAUUAAUCGGACUUCUCUUUCAAUCGGGAAUGGUAGUAUUGUUGAUUAUCUAAACACCGGUGAUCCAAAAGGGACAGAUUGGCUACCAGCAGAGUGUGAUGUUUCCAUCAGAAAGGGAUGGUUUUGGCAUAAAUCCGAGUCACCCAAGAAGCUAAGCCAGCUACUUGACAUCUACUACAAUUCUGCUGGACGAAAUUGUGUACUUUUGCUCAAUGUUCCACCCAAUUCAACUGGCCUCAUAUCUUACGCUGAUGUUCAAAGAUUGAAGCAAUUUAAAGAAGCAAUUGACACAAUUUUUGCUUCCAAUUUGGCAGAGAAAUGCUUGAUAAAAGUUAGUAGCCAGAGAGGAGGUAAAGAUGGUGGUUUUGGAGCAGAAAAUGUGAUAGACAGUGACCAUUUGUGGACAUAUUGGGUUCCAAGAGAUGAAGAAAAAGAGGGUAGUUGGAUUGAAAUUCGAUGCAAUGAAAGUUUAAGGUUUAACGUCAUUAGGAUUCAAGAAGCAAUUGCUCUUGGUCAGAGGAUCAAACGGCAUGAAAUUUAUGUAGAUGGAAAGAAGGUUGCAAAAGGGACUACAGUGGGG
rnacentral:misc_RNA from 1 species